rnacentral:rRNA from 1 species
AGAUUGAACGCUGGCGGCGUGCCUAACACAUGCAAGUCGAUCGGUAACAGGUGUAGCAAUACAUGCUGACGAGCGGCGAACGGGUGAGUAAUGCUUUGGAAUCUUCCCAGUAGUGGGGAAUAACCAGUCGAAAGAUUGGCUAAUACCGCAUACGUCUGUAAAGGGAAAGCGGGGGCUCGUAAGACCUCGCGCUAUUGGAUGAGCCAAAGUCGGAUUAGCUUGUUGGUGGGGUAAUGGCCUACCAAGGCGACAAUCCGUAGCUGGUCUGAGAGGACGACCAGCCACACCGGAACUGAGACACGGCCCGGACUCCUACGGGAGGCGGCAGUGGGGAAUAUUGGACAAUGGGGGAAACCCUGAUCCAGCGACGCCGCGUGUGUGAAGAAGGCCUGCGGGUUGUAAAGCACUUUUAGUGGGGACAAAAAAGCUACGGAUUAAUACUCUGUGGUCUUGAUUUAACCCAAGAAAAGCACCGGCUAACUCUGCGCCAGCAGCCGC